AAACCAAUUUAUAAUUAAAAACCAAUUGUUCAGAGAACCAUUGAUGGUCUUUCCACCACUUACAACAUAUUUUGAUGUGAAAAUAUUAAAAAUUCAGUUGAUAUGUCAGUUCCUAUGACUUUAUGAUGUCUAAAUAUGAAUUUGGAGCAAAGGUCAAAAUCUAGAACGUCCAAUUAACCUAUGACCUUGACCUCAAUUUCAAGGUCAUAGACUAAGGAUCUCAUCCUAAAGACACUAGUUCCUUAAUAUGUAUGGUUCAUGAGUAAUAUCACUUUACGCAUAAUUCUAAACAUAAAAGGGGCGAAAACUCCCAUUUAUUGUCUACGCACCCUUUCAACCAAAAUUUAUAAGUUACGACAUGUCGCAACUUACAAUUUAGUAAAAAUAAUUUGUCGAUAAGUUAUACGGCUUUUGAAAAUAAGUGAAAAUAAGCCAAAAUCAAAAUUUAUAAUAUGAACUUACAAUUUAGUAAAAAUAAUUUGUCGAUAAGUUAUACGGCUUUUGAAAAUAAGUGAAAAUAAGCCAAAAUCAAAAUUUAUAAUAUGACCUUGACCUUUGACCUUGACCUUAUUUUCAUUUUUUUGGACCAAGGAUCUCAAAUCAAAAGACCCUAGGUCUCUAUCACUUAUGGUUUACCAUUUAGAAAUGCAUAUUCUUAUAUCAAACAUAAAAGGGGGGAUAACUCUCAUAUGGAAUCUAUAUACGGCUUCGGUCAAAAUUAAACAGAACAUCCUGAGGAUAUAACGAGCAAUUUGGAAAAAUAAAUUUGUCGGUUUCUUAUACGGUUGCGAAGCCUUAGAGAUAACAAGGAAAACAGUGUUCGGGGAGAUAACUCUUAUUUGGGAAAGUAUUCGGUUAAGCAGAGUUGGUUUCAAAAGCGUAUAAACUGUUCGAUAUCAUGUUCCAAAAAUCUAAGCGACAUCUUGCGAAACAAAAAAAAACAGCGAAGGAAAAAAAUUAGGCGGAAGAAAAAAAAAAAAAAAAAAAAAUAAUAAUAAUCAGAAGAAAUCCAAU
rnacentral:lncRNA from 1 species